CCGGCGACCGGCGCACGGGUGAGUAACACGUAUGUAACCUGCCCUAUGCAGGGGGAUAACCCGGAGAAAUCCGGCCUAAUACCGCAUGUGGCCGAGGGGAGGCAUCUUCUUUCGGCCAAAGGAGGCGACUCCGGAGACGGAUGGGCAUGCGUGACAUUAGCUUGUUGGCGGGGUAACGGCCCACCAAGGCGACGAUGUCUAGGGGUUCUGAGAGGAAGGUCCCCCACACUGGUACUGAGACACGGACCAGACUCCUACGGAAGGCAGCAG
rnacentral:rRNA from 1 species